GUGCUUGCUUCGGCAACACAUAUACUAAAACUUGGAAUGAUACAGAGAAGAUUAGCAUAGCCUUGUGCAAGGAUGACACAUAAAUCUGUGAAGCAGUUCAUAUUUUU
rnacentral:snRNA from 1 species